AAUUGCUAGUAAUGGCAGGUCAGCAUACUGCCGUGAAUACGUUCCCGGGCCUUGUACACACCGCCCGUCACACCAUGAGAGUUGGAGAUACCCGAAGCCUAUGAGCUAACUUUAGAGGCAGUAGUCGAAGGUAGAAUCAAUGAUUGGGGUGAAGUCGUAACAAGGUAGC
rnacentral:rRNA from 1 species